CGCAUGGAGAAGUCUGACGGAGCAACGCCGCGUGAGUGAUGAAGGUUUUCGGAUCGUAAAGCUCUGUUGUUAGGGAAGAACAAGUGCCGUUCAAAUAGGGCGGCACCUUGACGGUACCUAACCAGAAAGCCACGGCUAACUACGUGCCAGCAGCCGCGGUAAUACGUAGGUGGCAAGCGUUGUCCGGAAUUAUUGGGCGUAAAGGGCUCGCAGGCGGUUUCUUAAGUCUGAUGUGAAAGCCCCCGGCUCAACCGGGGAGGGUCAUUGGAAACUGGGGAACUUGAGUGCAGAAGAGGAGAGUGGAAUUCCACGUGUAGCGGUGAAAUGCGUAGAGAUGUGGAGGAACACCAGUGGCGAAGGCGACUCUCUGGUCUGUAACUGACGCUGAGGAGCGAAAGCGUGGGGAGCGAACAGGAUUAGAUACCCUGGUAGUCCACGCCGUAAACGAUGAGUGCUAAGUGUUAGGGGGUUUCCGCCCCUUAGUGCUGCAGCUAACGCAUUAAGCACUCCGCCUGGGGAGUACGGUCGCAAGACUGAAACUCAAAGGAAUUGACGGGGGCCCGCACAAGCGGUGGAGCAUGUGGUUUAAUUCGAAGCAACGCGAAGAACCUUACCAGGUCUUGACAUCCUCUGACAAUCCUAGAGAUAGGACGUCCCCUUCGGGGGCAGAGUGACAGGUGGUGCAUGGUUGUCGUCAGCUCGUGUCGUGAGAUGUUGGGUUAAGUCCCGCAACGAGCGCAACCCUUGAUCUUAGUUGCCAGCAUUCAGUUGGGCACUCUAAGGUGACUGCCGGUGACAAACCGGAGGAAGGUGGGGAUGACGUCAAAUCAUCAUGCCCCUUAUGACCUGGGCUACACACGUGCUACAAUGGACAGAACAAAGGGCAGCGAAACCCGCGAGGUUAAGCCAAUCCCACAAAUCUGUUCUCAGUUCGGAUCGCAGUCUGCAACUCGACUGCGUGAAGCUGGAAUCGCUAGUAAUCGCGGAUCAGCAUGCCGCGGUGAAUACGUUCCCGGGCCUUGUACACACCGCCCGUCACACCACGAGAGUUUGUAACACCCGAGUCGUGAGUACUUUUGAGCUAGCGCGAAAGGUGGGAAGAAUGAUUGGGGUGAGUCGUACCAGGUAGCCGUA
rnacentral:rRNA from 1 species